UACGGAGGGUGCAAGCGUUAUCCGGAUUCACUGGGUUUAAAGGGUGCGUAGGCGGGCAGGUAAGUCCGUGGUGAAAUCCUAGAGCUUAACUCUAGAACUGCCGUGGAUACUAUCUGUCUUGAAUCCCGUGGAGAUGAGCGGAAUAUGUCAUGUAGCGGUGAAAUGCUUAGAUAUGACAUAGAACACCAAUUGCGAAGGCAGCUCGUUACACGAAGAUUGACUCUGAGGCACGAAAGCGUGGGGAUCAAACAGG
rnacentral:rRNA from 1 species